rnacentral:tRNA from 1 species
GCCUUCGUGGUGUAGCAGUCAGCACGUUUGACGCAUAUUCGAGAGGAUCUGUGGUUCGAGUCCCGGCGAGGGCA